AGAAGCCUGUUCUACCUAAGAGAGAGAACUGGACAAAAAUGCUGAACAGAUUGAUGGUUCACACUCUGUUUCAAAUAUAGAAAAUUAUCUAGAUGAAUGGAGUAAUUUCUCCUUAAGAAGAAAAUCCUCAGAAUUUCCAGGUUGCUGAUCUGAGUGUUGAAGUAUCUACAGGGACAAGGAACGAGAACCAUACCAACACUUGGUGUUGCUGAGUACAAGACUAGCUGACUAUAGAGACUAGACUGGCUCAAAAAUGUGACUUGCUGGAAACUUGCCUGAGACAAUAGGAGUCAAUCAUCUUUCAAGUUCAAAGGAGGCCCUGGAACAGAGUCAAUCUUUGAAUAGAGAGAAGAGGAAGGUGCACGAGGAGUGGAAGGGGAAAGACUUGCUCGUCAAGGAAUAUGGAUGAUGAGAGAGAAGGAGGAAAUGAGUCUACUUAGACGUCAAGACAGGCAGCAGAAGAAAAUCAGAAAUGGAAUAAAUUCCAAAGGUAUUGGAACUCCAAAGGCUAACACCUGGAAGCCAUCACCUGCAGAUGCCCAGCCGCCACACACUGUACCCUGCACAGCGGUGUGGGUGCUAAUGGAGAGACCUUGAUCCACCAGUGCACAGUAGGGAAAAUAAACAUACACCUCUCUUUGAAGUAGAAUGGAGAGUGACUCCGUGAAGUCAAGGGGCAUUGUGAAAGAAUGCAAAGCAAAAGGUUUUUCACUAAAGUCUCAUGUAAAUAAAAGUGGUCCUGGGAGGAGAAAAAACAAUACACAGCUGAGAAGAAAUCAACUUUGGAAAGUUCUUUCAGUCAUUUAUCAUUAAAUAGUUAUUAAUAACCUACUACGUGGCAGGCCUGGUUCUGGCCUCUGUGGGACAAAGGAGUAAACAAAGCAGAUAGUUCUACAAGUGACAGCCUAAUUCUUGAAAGAGACAAUUAAAAAAAGAUUGCACAUAUAAAUAUAUAAUUACUACUUUGAUGUUUCAAUGAAAGAAAACUGCAGGGUUCUAUGACAAUGAAACUUUCAGCAAAAAUCCCAAGAAGACAGGAAAACCCUAAGGAGACAGCAAAAAGAUCACGUGAAGCAUCGUUCAUCUGACUUUUAGGAAGCAUCUUCAUCUGACUUUUAGAAACACAAGCAGAGCCAUAUUUUCAGAAUUUUUCAAUUUCCAAAAUACUAAUUAGAAACAGAAAAUAGCUAGUGUAAUGUAAAUAGAUUAUUGAAGAUAUAAUUUAUAGAUUUAAAUUUCCAAAAUUUCAGACUUAAUGAGAACACUCCGUAAUACAUAUGUCAGCUUUUAUACCAAGAAAUAAUAUGUCUCGUUUUGAUUAGUGUCGAAUCGACUGCACAGAAAUAGAGCUGUGAAUUGUCCUGAACUUGAUGACAAAAGAAGAGAAUAUAGACAAGAACCAGAGUAAACACAUCCCUAAUCUAGUACAGGGUUACACCAGUUUCUUGGAGAGAAGAAAAUUACUAUUGAAAGAACAAUAUAGGAAUAUGUAUAUAUUAUUAUAUAUCAUAGCACUUCAUGUACAUUUAUAAACUCAUACAUAUUACACGUUAUGUAUCACACGGUACAUGCUGCUAAACCUAAGUCUAUAAUAUAUUGUAUUGGUGUAAGCGAGGCUAUGCUGCUGUAACAAACGAUUCCUGGGUCUUAAUGGUUUAAAACUCACUUACACAACGUGUUCAUUUUGGUUCAGUGGAAACUCAGUUCCAUGUUGUCCUCAAAUGAGAACUCAUGAUGAUGAAGACUCCACCAGCUAAAACGUUUCUGAUUGGCACCAUAGUGGAAAG
rnacentral:lncRNA from 1 species